GAACCCUGCAGAAGAGGAGAAGGAAAAACUGGUGAGAGCAAGAGGUGGUGGAGAUCAUCAUGGAAACAAAGCCUUUUAAACCGACAGAAUACAACCACAUUUGAACUCAGAAUGAGGAAGGAUCUGCAGGGCUGGCAUGGGUCAUUUUCGGAUGGAGUCCUAGAGUUGAAAGCUAACUUGUGGUGACUAUUUCCUGUGGCCAGAAUGUCUCCUAGAAGUUUGUGACCAUGACCUUACUUCCCCAUCCUUCAUGGGAUCUUCAUCCACACUGAGAGCUUAUUGUAAUGACCAAAUGAUACGAUGUCUACAAAAUGCCCAG
rnacentral:lncRNA from 1 species